GACGAACGCUGGCGGCGUGCUUAACACAUGCAAGUCGAACGGAAAGGCCCUGCUUUUGUGGGGUGCUCGAGUGGCGAACGGGUGCGUAACACGUGAGUAACCUGCCCUUGACUUUGGGAUAACUUCAGGAAACUGUGUCUAAUACCGGAUAGGAGCUCCUGCGGCGUGUUGGGGUGUGGAAAUUUUCGGCGGUUGGGGAUGUACUCGCGGCUUAUCAGCGUGUUGGUGGGGUAGUGGCUUACCAAGGCUUUGACGGGUAGCCGGCCUGAGAGGGUGACCGGCCACAUUGGGACUGAGAUACGGCCCAGACUCCUACGGGAGGCAGCAGUGGGGAAUAUUGCACAAUGGGAGGCAGCCUGAUGCAGCAACGCCGCGUGCGGGAUGACGGCCUUCGGGUUGUAAACCGCUUUCGCCUGUGACGAAGCGUGAGUGACGGUAAUGUGUAAAGAAGCACCGGCUAACUACGUG
rnacentral:rRNA from 1 species